UAAUCUCUCAGGAGACGUAACCUCUUCACGAUCCAGGUUUCCUGAUUUUCAGACCUGAGUUAAGUUACUAUGGAUACAGAGUGACAGGCCAGUGAAGGAAACUGGGGACAGGGAGUGGCCUGCCCACAGGUCUCCUUUUCCAGACUUCUUAGAAGACUUGGAAAGAAAAUGAAAUGACGUUGAACGAAAUCAAAGUAAAUUGAGUGAUCUGAAACGAUUUGAUGUCAGCAAGAAUUCCCUAUACAGCUCACAGCCCUACCCCGAGCACGCCUCCCUCUUGGGUAUGUCUCUGCAGGCCCAAACCUUGCAGAAGCCAUUCCAUGUUCCCUGAGCAGGAAAAGACAAACUCAGACCGACAACCUUGGACUUCAAAAGACGGCACACAAGGGGAGGAAGGACUGAGAGUACCAAGGCGUGAGAAUUCAGAAUGCUGCUAUCUCAUUUAUUUUUACUAUUUAGGAAACGUUUUGAUCUGCAUCCUUUUCCCUUCCCUGAUUUCAAAAAAUAAAGAUAAAAAUGCUUCGGUUCUGAGGAGUAACUCUCCAGAUGGAAGGGGAAGAUCAGGGGAUGAAUGGGGGAGGGCUGCUUGCGUCCUCUCCCCUGCCACACACACGCUCUCUGUUUCAGCCGUGUGUGUGUUUUAUUUUUCAGUGUAAAAAUAGCCGCCCAGGUUUAUGUAUUCAUCCCUAAGCUGCAAUGAAGCGCCUGCCUCCCGGCCAGAGUCCGCCGCCUUUUAGUAGCUUAUAACGUCAGGUGACGCCUCCAGCCCUCGCAUUCCCCGCCCCAGCCCGGAUAAACGUCCUCCGUGACCUUAGAAGUUUUCAGUUUAAUCAGCGGUAUCGUUUUUGAGAGGAAAAUCCUCCCAGCUUUGCGGGCUGGCAGAGCUCUGGGGCCCUCCCCUGCCUCCCAGCCCAGGCCGCAGAGAGAGAGCGUUUCCAUCUGUGCUGCGAGCGGGAAGAGCCUCUCUGUGCUCCCCGGCACGUCCAGCGCGCGGGCGGGAACACGCUCUCCUGUGGGGGGCAGCUUUCCCAGGGACCUUGCCUAACAAGGCCCAGGCGGCUCCCCCGUGGGCCCC
rnacentral:lncRNA from 1 species